CAUGCAGUCGACGAUGAGCCCAGCUUGCUGGGUGGAUUAGUGGCGAACGGGUGAGUAACACGUGAGUAACCUGCCCUUGACUCUGGGAUAAGCGCUGGAAACGGCGUCUAAUACCGGAUACGACCUGCCCCGGCAUCGGGUGCGGGUGGAAAGUUUUUCGGUCAAGGAUGGACUCGCGGCCUAUCAGCUUGUUGGUGAGGUAAUGGCUCACCAAGGCGACGACGGGUAGCCGGCCUGAGAGGGUGACCGGCCACACUGGGACUGAGACACGGCCCAGACUCCUACGGGAGGCAGCAGUGGGGAAUAUUGCACAAUGGGCGAAAGCCUGAUGCAGCAACGCCGCGUGGGGGAUGACGGCCUUCGGGUUGUAAACCUCUUUUAGUAGGGAAGAAGGACUUCGGUUUGACGGUACCUGCAGAAAAAGCACCGGCUAACUACGUGCCAGCAGCCGCGGUAAUACGUAGGGUGCAAGCGUUGUCCGGAAUUAUUGGGCGUAAAGAGCUCGUAGGCGGUUUGUCGCGUCUGCUGUGAAAACCCGAGGCUCAACCUCGGGCCUGCAGUGGGUACGGGCAGACUAGAGUGCGGUAGGGGAGAAUGGAAUUCCUGGUGUAGCGGUGGAAUGCGCAGAUAUCAGGAGGAACACCGAUGGCGAAGGCAGUUCUCUGGGCCGUUACUGACGCUGAGGAGCGAAAGCGUGGGGAGCGAACAGGAUUAGAUACCCUGGUAGUCCACGCCGUAAACGUUGGGAACUAGAUGUGGGGGACCUUUCCACGGUCUCCGUGUCGCAGCUAACGCAUUAAGUUCCCCGCCUGGGGAGUACGGCCGCAAGGCUAAAACUCAAAGGAAAUUGACGGGGGGCCCGCACAAGCGGCGGAGCAUGCGGGAUUAAAUUCGAUGCAACGCGGAAGAACCUUUACCAAAGGCUUUGACAUAUACCGGAAACUUCCAGAAAUGGUUGCCCCGCAAGGUCGGUAUACAGGUGGUGCAUGGUUGUCGUCAGCUCGUGUCGUGAGAUGUUGGGUUAAGUCCCGCAACGAGCGCAACCCUCGUUCUAUGUUGCCAGCACGUCAUGGUGGGAACUCAUAGGAGACUGCCGGGGUCAACUCGGAGGAAGGUGGGGAUGACGUCAAAUCAUCAUGCCCCUUAUGUCUUGGGCUUCACGCAUGCUACAAUGGCCGGUACAAAGGGCUGCGAUACCGUAAGGUGGAGCGAAUCCCAAAAAGCCGGUCUCAGUUCGGAUUGAGGUCUGCAACUCGACCUCAUGAAGUCGGAGUCGCUAGUAAUCGCAGAUCAGCAACGCUGCGGUGAAUACGUUCCCGGGCCUUGUACACACCGCCCGUCAAGUCAUGAAAGUCGGUAACACCCGAAGCCGGUGGCCUAACCCCUUGUGGGAGGGAGCCGUCGAAGGUGGGAUCGGUGAUUAGGACUAAGUC
rnacentral:rRNA from 1 species